CUUAAAGUAUUUUUGAAAUUUCAAUGCAAAUGUAUUUAGAUUGAAUGUUUUCUAGAAAAUCAUUCGAAUUGAGGUUGAUAAGUUUUUCACAUGAAACUCAAGCAAGUUGCUUCCGCCGAAUCCAUAGAAUGCUACUGCCAUUGCUACACUUCCGAGGAGAGAGAAUAAAACCUCUUGACAUUGACCACAAUUUCUACUUGGAGAUCAAGAUGAAUUGAAUGGAAAUGUGAGGAGAGUUGCAAGUAGAAAGUCGAGUAAGAAACUAUUCAUAAAAAUGCUUUGAGAUGAAUACAAAAGUGCUGUCAGCAAAAUAAAUGUUGGGCGAGUUUCACAUUGAAGAAAACGAAAUCGGAUAGCGAUAGUGGAGAACGAGGCUUUCGAGGACGCUGUUUGAAGGCAGUAUAGUUUCCUGAAAGCAAAUAUAUUCGCUUUUAUUAGGAAAUCUAUUUUUUUUUGUUUGUAAACAAGAACCUACGAUUGUGUCGUGGCUUUAAUUUUAUGUUUAACAAUUGAGUCGAAUGUUGAAAUUAUUUGUACUUACUGUAGGUAAUCAAAUUUAUUACUAAACUAUA